rnacentral:tRNA from 1 species
GGAGGGGUGGCAGAGAGGCCGAUCGCGCUUGUCUUGAAAACAAGAGUCUCGGUAACGGGACCGUGGGUUCGAAUCCCACCCCCUCCG